UUUCUACUCUCUUUUCACGUUUUUCUUUUUUUUUUUUUUUUUUUUUUUUUUUUUUUUUUUUUUUUUUUUUUUUUUAAACUCUAACAAAUCUAUUCACUGUUAAAACUAGACCGUAAAUAUUUUUCUGCGGAUUUGAAUGCAAUUUUAGCAUUCGUACUACAGAUUGGGUUUCUCGUUACUCUUAUUACGUGGAUAAACAACUCCAAGUUUCUUAUCUAACUUUUUCAUGGCGUUAAUUGUCGACUAAUCCUCUUGCGACUGUCGCGUAUAAUUUCUACGCAUUUUUCUCACCCUUAUGGAAUCUAAUCUUGCACUAAUAUAAUUUGAGCUAAUUAUCAUCGUUUUAUAGAAUAGCAGAUUAAUAGACAUUCUAAUAUUUGCGAACUUUGACUAAAAUAGAAUUAUUCUGGGAACCUUCUCUCGUCAUUACGCCUAGUAUCUCGUAUCUGGUUUCGUGGUCUGGUCCGAAGAAACGAAAGCCGUCACGACAAAGACCGUUUUUCUUUUUCCUCGGUUCUGGUUGAUCGCAACAGUAACAACACCCGUGAAACGUAAUGUUAACGUUUAAAAAUACAUUGGCGUACACGUGAAUGAGAUUGUAUAAUCUACCGGCGCAUACCUGCAUCGUACACCGAGGAACAAUGGGCCCGGAACACGACAGAUUAUAGCUAUAAAGUAAUCUCGUUUGGUGUGUCGAUGGGCGAGCGCGGAAGCACACCCACGCGUCCCUGCUCGCGCUUUUCACCAACGCCAUAAACCCUAUUUUAACAACCGUGUAAAAAUCGUAUCGCGUUAAACACCAACGGAAGAUUCGAAAUUCUAAUCGUUUCUCUCGUUGGAAUCCGACUACGGCGUUACGUUAUAUCGUAGCUACGAAAUGCAUUUCAAGAAUAGUUUAUGUCGCUCUACGGUAUUACGUUUUUAUACGCUCCGAUGGAAUAUACGUUCACGACAGAUACGUAUAUACCAUUGAUUUCACUUUAAUUUAUACCAAUUUGUGUCGUCUAUCUUUUUUCUCUUACCCUGUUUUUUUUUUUUUUUUUUUUAAUGGUAGAAUCAUAAUACAUAUUUAUUUAAUUACGGUUAUGUAAAAUUGCCAAGAGUUUACGUACUCUAAACAGUAUAGAGGAUAUUUUAGACAUAUUUAUAUUAUACUAAAAUAUUGCGAACGAUUAACGUUAAUUAGUAACGAUUAAUUAAUAAUAUUAAAUACUAGAACAUUGUUAUAGAAUAGUAAUCGCAGAGACAUAUACGAUUACCGUACGAUGUUAGGAUGGAAAGGGAAACUACCAAGCGUUAAAAGUAAAAAUCUAGGAAGAGUACUCGGAGGAUGAUUUGCAUGGAAUUAUUCAUUCUAAAGUUAAUGUUACUUCUGGAUUCGAUUCUUCAGCGUGUAACUCUUUAACGCGCGUAGCCACACCUAACUUGCAAAUUCCUGCAUUCCUAUGCCUUCUGUCUGACACUCGAUACGCUCGCUGUCAGCAGAUUAUUAGAGAUCUAAUGGUACUAGAAAGUUUCGUUUGAUAUCGGUAGUGUCGAAUAAUUCGUGCGUUUUAGCCAACUAUCUCGCGCGAUGAAUUUCAAUGAAAUCGAUUGCGUAAAUUAGGAACGCAGCUUUUCCAACGUUCCUACGACCAGUUGUGUAUGCAGCUACAUUGUACCUUUCUAAAUUUUAUCGUCUUCUUAUUCAUCGUUUUAUAAAAAUGUUCGAGAUUAUGUAAAUCGAUUGCGUUAAUUACGUAAAUCGAAUAAAAUACAGACAGGUGAAAUGUCGAUCGUUAACGUUUAAUAUAAGAAUGAUCGACAUUCGUGAAUUCUAAAGAAAUUCUAUUUCCUCGUGAUUAUAAAAUAAAAUAUAAAAUAUGGUUGUGAAUGUAAAAUGAAAUAAACGAGUAUAUUUUUAAAUUAUCACGCAUAUCUUCCUCUAUUCUUUAGACUUAACUAACCAAUAAAUUUUCAUUUAUUUUGAACGCUAUUAAAUCCGAUAAAAAAAGUAGAUAAUUCAAUAUAAUAGAAGAGACGUUACCACCGUUCUUACCGAUUAUAAUAACUAUUCUUUAUUGAUAAAUGAAAGAUGAGAAAUAUCUCGUUAAUGGCCUCUAACGGUGAAAUGUAAGAUGAUAACGGAUAAGAGCAAUUAUCUUACCACGGUAUUAGAAAAUAAAUAAAAUUGUCGUAGAUGAGAAAGAAAAUUGCCGAAACAUCGAACUGGAUGUCUUAAUGUAACUCAAUAUCCUUAACAAGGUCGACCGCCACGCCAAUCUUAUUAAUAUUUUACUUUCAGUUUGAUAACAAUUAAUUCUCGCAAUAUAUUAUAUCGUACUCGAGAACCUUUUUCCGGCGAUGUCAUUUAAAUCAUGUACCUUCAAAAUUCGAUGGUCUGUUAAAUUCGUUUUAUUCUAUUCGUUGUAAGAAAUUUGGCAACGUGGGUCACCCAUGGUCGCCGUAGCAAUUAACGCGUUAAGGGUUGCUACGCUUGAAAGCAGGUGUGACUAUUUAUUUCGCGACUAGGUGAGACACACGGCCCUGAAUGUAACGUCAACCGCGAGCAAACAAGCAUCUAUGCGUGGGCAUACAAAUCGUGUAGGUGUUCCUCUUCGACUACCAAGCUUUGACCCAAGGGCACUAGCUGUGCAUUAUGGAACGCGUGCACGUCGCCGAUAUCGCUCGCGUUUUCGCAUUUUUGCCUGUUCACGGCGUGAAGUUCGUUCGAUCGAUUCAUAAGUGGACAUCACAUAUUUAUGAGUGUCAUAUUUCUAUAAAGAUAAAUAAAAAAGUAGGAUUUAGGUAGACAAUUUCUUUGCCUGCUAGAUAUCGUACUAAAUAAGUAUAUAACGUGCUUGGAAUAUUUUAUAUAUUUUUAAAUUCAUAGUUAAGCAACGUUGGAAGGCCACUACAAUGGAGAAUGCCAAAUAAUACUGACACGAUUAAUCGCAUGAUUGAUAAAAAUACGAGGAAACGAAUUCAAAGUAUUUAAUUGUAACGAAUAACGAGAUUAUCGAAAGUAUUCGAAGAAUUGUGACGACAAUUACAAUGAACGAUGAAUGUUGUACGCUUGUCAUAAAUAUUAAAACCUGUGCGCGUA